GUGUGUGUGUAUGUGUAUGUGUGUGUGUGUGUGUGUGUGUAUAUAUGACAGAUUUUAACUCUGGCCAAGAAAAGCCAUUCCCAGUAGAAAUCAUCCCGAACCACAACUCAACUGUGGGCCUGAGGCAGCCAAGAAAUAAUCUUUUUAAAUAUUCUGAUCAGGGACUUGGAAAACAGAAAAUUUAAAACUUCAGCUCAGAAGUGUAUGAUUAACUCUGAGCGGAUGUGGUGGUUCUAGCCACGUAAUUUUAGGCGUUCUAAUUGGCAGUUUAAAAAUAGCAGAGUCGCAGGCUGCUCCUCGGUGCUGCUUCUCGCUUUGUUUCGCCCAUGAGUAUGCACUGUACUUAAGGAGUCUUAAGGCUGCUGGCGACGGGCUGGGAACCAGGACUCUUAUCUCCCGUCUCCCAGGUCUGCCGGACUCUGUCCUGACACACCACAGCGUCAUAAAAACUUGUGUUUUCUUAGGAUUCCUCCUAGCCGCCGGCUCACAGACAUAUUCCUCUUCCUUCUCUAAUAACUAGGUGCUUAAAGGUAGUGCUUCGAUGAUAAUAUUCAAGUAAAUCAAUUUCUGGGUACCUGAAACUUCCAGCUGAGCUGCGUCAUUUGCUUGCCAGGUAACAAGUACUUCAGGAUGUCAUCAAGAAAAGGAAAACACUGAUUUCAAAUAACCAAUUAUUUACAAAAUUCUUUCCCAUAUCUGUGUGAGGCAAGGUCCGCAAGAUAAAACAAAUGUUUGUUUCUCUUUACUGCUGUUUCCAUGGGCAGCAAGAUGACACAUCAGCGUAGACACCCACGAGGGAGCUGCAUUUUUCCCUUUUGCAUUUCCAAGGAACCCCAGGAGUCCCAUCUGGUCUAACAUAAAGUCAUGUAUCUUUACCUAAUUUUGGCCUCUGAGUUUUCCUUCUGGGAGACACUUGCUGCUUCACUGUGGAGGGGUCUAGGGGUAGAAAGCCAGCUGGAGCUGUGGAGCUGUUUAUAACACCCCAAGGACUGUUGUUCUGCCCCAAGCAGGGGGUUUGUUGGGGCCCAUGCAGGGGGAGUCUCAACGGGCAAUCCCCCGUUCCUCGUGGGAUGUGGUUUAUCAUUCCUGCUUUGAGUUUCAUUAACAUGGAAUCUUGCACUUUCCCAACCAAUGACGCCACAAAAGAAUAAACUAUAUUAAGUCCAUAAAUCUCAGACUGCCAAGUCCCUGGAAUAUCAACUGAUGAAACUCUCCGCUUUCUAACCUGAGGGAGAAGAGCAGGCUUAUUUAAGAGAGAUCAGAUUUUUUUAUACAGUAUCAGAUUUGUACUCCAAGUCUUUCAAAACUUGACAGAAGGGUCAUCCAAAGCUGCCUUCCUGCUUUCCAGGUAUGAAUCCAGAGCUGCAGUCCAUAAGGCCAUAAGAAAUAUAGGCAUGGGUAUAAAGGGACAUGGAAGCCAAAAAGCCAUCAUCUGGCCAUCUGAAUCUGGCCCUGCAAUUGUCUCUUCACUCAUGAAUACGUGAUUUUACUUGCCAGCAGAAACAGCUGACAGAGGAUAGCCUCUGCCUCCCAUCUGCCUUCCAACCAAGCAAGUAUCAUUUGAUGACUUUUCACCUCUGCAGAAUAGUACGACACCAUAAAAGAGGGGUGGAAAUGGGGUUGAGAUCUACAGCCUAAGUAUCCCUCACUGACUCCCAAUAUAGCCAGGUGAUUUGACUGGUUAUUUAUUCUUGGCCUCCUUCAAGGUUUUCACCUGACCCACACAAACCUUGGUGUCCCCGAGGUUCUAUCCUCAGCCAUGGCUUUUCUUGCCCAACAGGCUAACGGAUGAUUCAUACUUGGAGAUUCGUACUUGGGAGAUCACCUCCAUUCUCUCGCCCUCAGCUAGUAUUUAACUCAAUAUCUGUAGCUAACACCUCUCCCCUGAACUUCAAAUUAAUAUAUCCAACUCUCUGCCAGACAGCUCCAGUUAGAUAUUCCAGGUAAUGUGAAGUCAACCUAUCACUAAGGCUGUACUUGUUUCUCUUCUUAUUGCGAUUCCAGUUACUAUGAAUGUCACCAUCAUCGACCCAGGCACCCAGGCUGCAUUCCUCAACUAUAUGUAGAGCUCAUUCCUUUGCCUCAUCUCUCAUAUUCGCUAUCCAAGAACUACCUGUUUUGUCAUCUAAAUCUUUCUCAUUCAUCUUGUCCUCUCCAGCCCUGCUACCACUGUCCUAGUUCAAGCCCCUGUCGUUUCCCACCUAGAUUUCUGCAGCAGCUUCCUAGUUGAUUUUCCUAGAUCCAGUCUUCAACUCAGCUCUGUCUUCUGUGUAGUUGACAAUGAUGGUAUUAUACACAAGCUUGAUUACAUCAGCUACCUGCUCAAACCUGUUCCAUGGUUCUUCAACACCUGUUGCAAUGGCCUUAAACUCUGCUGCACAUCAAAAUCUAUAUAGAGUC
rnacentral:lncRNA from 1 species